AGAGCCCGUUUGUUUUCACAGCAGCACAACGGACAACACAGCUCGGCCUCACAGGCAGUGACACGUACCGACGCGUGGGUGCGUGGAUCGAGCACAGAAAGCGAAACCCCGUAACGGUGCGUGUUCCGCUUUAGGAAAAACCACGUGACCGGCCCGUAAACUGUGUUUCGUCCUGUGAGGGUAGAGUGGGUUUGAUGACGUAGUGCUGUGGCACAAUGUUCCUCGUGGGUCACAAGGAGAAAUCAGCAGGUGUCGCUCUCCACGAGGCGCCACGGAGAUGACGGCUGGUUUUUGGAGGUCUUUUUUCUGCCAGUAGAGGGCAGUGAGCGUCAUGGGCUAAACAGGGACAUUUCCAGGGACAAACGACGAAGCAGCAAAGAAAAUGGGCGCACAGAAACAAAGCUGUGAACAGACCCAGCAGUGUCACUACUCGCUGUUGUAAUGUGUCGCAUAAAAACGAUGCCACGGAACUGACCCCGCGCGACCCUUUAUUGUGGGAGCCCUCUGAUACCCCCUGUUGAAGCUCCCCGGAUUAAAGACACAUCUGCACCUGUGAGGAGCAGAAACCUCAGACUGGAGGAGACGCCUUAGAGAAGGAGGAGGUGCAGGGAGAGCACAUCCUGCAGUUUGGGAAUUAAAGGAUCAUCUUUCUUCUGGAGAAUGAUGCCGUGUGGUGAAUGGACGGGUUCUACUCUGCUCCAGCACUCAGAGCACCUUCUACACCCUCGGUGUGUUUAGAGUGUUUUAUAUCUAAGUUCACACUCAGAGGUCAGAGGUCAGGAUCUUGUAAAGUGUAUUGUGCAUAAAGAGAAGCUUCCUGAUGCAAAACACUGUCUUCCUUUCUUAUUUCAUUCAAUUACCACAAGUAAAACUGCUGGUUUUUAAGUGUUAUAGGUGCGAUGAAUAAAGUUAUUUUAUAGGAUUUCUGUGAAACGUUUUCAAAGUCUUGUUGGUGUCUGUCAGAUCAGAUUAACUGAUACAUGAAGCUGUUUCAGUCAUUUACAAACCCCAGUUUUUACAGUUUUAUCUCCUCAGUGUUACAUCACAGCUUCAGUGUGUGUGUGUGUGUGUGUGUGUGUGUGAGUGACUUUAAAGUUAUGCCUCAGGUGUGAAGCAGAUUCCCACUGUGGGGUUAAAGGUGUGUUUUCUUUGUUCUUCCUUGUUAAUCACUGUUUGUCAUCAGUGAUUUGGAUUUUUGUCUCUGAAUGUAUGUUUGUAAUUAAAAUGGUUUUCUGAUCA